AUGUCUAUGAUGAGUGAACUAAAGUUCUUUCUUGGGUUGCAAAUCAAGCAAACUAAGGAGGGUACCUUUGUUUCCCAUACAAAGUAUACCAAGGACUUAUUCAAGAAGUUCAACAUGCAAGAAAGCAAAGGUAUGAAAACACCCAUGCCUACUAGUGGACAUCUUGACUUGACUAAGGAUGGCAAACCGGUUGACCAAAAGGUUUACCGCUCUAUGAUUGGUUCAUUGUUAUAUCUAUGUGCCUCUCGUCCCAAUAUUAUGCUAAGUGUGUGCAUGUGUGCACGAUAUCAAGCGGGCCCCAAAGAAUGUCAUCUUAAGGUUGUGAAAAGGAUAGUGAGAUACUUAAUUCAUACACCAAAUUUUGGCAUUUGGUAUCCUAAGAGGUCCUCUUUUGAUCUUGUUGGAUACUCCAAUUCGGACUAUGCCGGUGAC
rnacentral:rRNA from 1 species